rnacentral:rRNA from 1 species
GAUGAACGCUGGCGGCGUGCCUAAUACAUGCAAGUCGAGCGAACGGACGAGAAGCUUGCUUUUCUGAUGUUAGCGGCGGACGGGUGAGUAACACGUGGAUAACCUACCUAUAAGACUGGGAUAACUUCGGGAAACCGGAGCUAAUACCGGAUAAUAUUUUGAACCGCAUGGUUCAAAAGUGAAAGACGGUCUUGCUGUCACUUAUAGAUGGAUCCGCGCUGCAUUAGCUAGUUGGUAAGGUAACGGCUUACCAAGGCAACGAUGCAUAGCCGACCUGAGAGGGUGAUCGGCCACACUGGAACUGAGACACGGUCCAGACUCCUACGGGAGGCAGCAGUAGGGAAUCUUCCGCAAUGGGCGAAAGCCUGACGGAGCAACGCCGCGUAGUGAUGAAGGUCUUCGGAUCGUAAAACUCUGUUAUUAGGGAAGAACAUAUGUGUAAGUAACUGUGCACAUCUUGACGGUACCUAAUCAGAAAGCCACGGCUAACUACGUG